rnacentral:SRP_RNA from 1 species
GCUGGGCAUGGUGAUACAUGUCUAUAAUUCCAGCUCCCAGGGAGGCUGAGGCUGACAGAUCUGUUGAGCUCAGGAAUUCUGAGCUUCAGAGGGCCCAGUUGACCCAGUGUCCUUACUAAGUUUGGCAUCAAUAUACUGAGCCCCUGAGAAUGAAAGGCAACCAGGUUGCCUGAGAAGGAGUAAACCAGCCCAGGUUGGAAAAGGAGCAAGUCAAAGCUCAUGUGUUAAUCAGUUAGCAGUAUCAUGCCCAAGAAUAGCUCUUGCAUUUCUAGUCAGAGUGAGAUAGGGAGACUCGAUCUUU